ACCUUUGCAGAGGCUAACAAAAUGUCACACCAGUAUGGCACAUAUCUACAGAGCAAAUUACCAUUCUCUAAAGCAGAAGGGAUCCUUAACGAACUCAUAAGGCCAUGAAAUCAGAAGCAUGGCAUGUUUAGAGCAAUGCAAGAGCCUCCAUUAUACACUAAUUCAAUCUCUUCACUUUACAGGAGCAAAGCAGUGCGGAUCUCUCUUUCUGCCCUAAGGAGACUCUGCCUCGAUGCGGCUGGUGUGUGUCUUGUCCUCUCCCUGCUGGAGCCCCGCUAAGUCAUGGAGAACACUUACUGUUCCUGCCUGGGAAUCCCAGCUGCCCAGUCUUCCCUGACCGGACACCCGAUGUACUAUAAGUGAGCCAUAGGGUUUCAUCUCCAUGGAGUCAGGCUGUAACUGUGCCAGACUUUAUCCUCCUACACCCCAGGGAAAGUCUCCCAGACUAGGCCUUCGAAAGGAGGGAGUCUGAUAUAAAUGCCCCCUCUCUCCUUCUUCAACCUCUCUCUAGCUAAUGUAGUCUGUCUUUGAAGCCCCCAGUUGGGUGCCCCCAUGCCCACCCAUCCCUCAGGAAAACCCUGCCCUCCCCAUAGGAGGAGGUUCCUCCCCUCGGACUUUGGUAGGGACUUGCAAACUUGAGCACCCGAGAGGCUGUGCUUUGCUUAGUCACAGCUGACCAUGGGAGGGCGAGGAUCAUCCCCAGUGUUUGAUGUCUUUGGCAUCCUUAGAAAUGUCCCUAAAAAGCAAUGCACACCUCUCUAAGGUGUGAAACAGGGUGCUGUC